rfam:Canis lupus familiaris chromosome 4, whole genome shotgun sequence.
GUGCUUGCUUUGGCAGCACAUUUACUAAAAUUGGGAUGAUACAGAAAUGAUUAGUGUGGUCCCACCACAAGGAUGAUAUGCAAAUUUGUGAAGUAUCCCAUAUUUUA